AGAGCGAACGCUGGCGGCGUGCUUAACACAUGCAAGUCGAACGAGGUCUGUAGCAAUACAGAUACUCGUGGCGAACGGGUGCGUAACACGUGGAUAACCUUCCUUCAGGUGGGGAAUAACCCAGUGAAAAUUGGGCUAAUACCGCAUAACAUGACGAUGCCACAUGGUGUUGUCUUCAAAGGCGCAAGUCGCCAGAAGAGGGAUCCGCGGCCGAUUAGCUAGUUGGCGAGGUAAUGGCUCACCAAGGCAAUGAUCGGUAGCCGGACUGAGAGGUUGGCCGGCCACACUGGAACUGAGACACGGUCCAGACUCCUACGGGAGGCAGCAGUGGGGAAUCUUGCACAAUGGACGAAAGUCUGAUGCAGCAACGCCGCGUGGGGGAUGAAGCUUUUCGGAGUGUAAACCCCUUUCGACCCGGAAGAAAGCCCGCAAGGGUUUGACGGUACGGGUAUAAGAAGCCCCGGCUAACUACGUGCCAGCAGCCGC
rnacentral:rRNA from 1 species